rnacentral:ribozyme from 1 species
CUUUUAAUGCUGCCUAGUUUAGCUAACUGCUUAACUAGAAGGUCCCAAGCCCUUAGAGACAUAUAGUAAGAAUACUGUAUGUCUCAUAAAGCAGAGGGAAAG